GUCGCUUCUCGGCCUUUUGGCUAAGAUCAAGUGUAGUAUCUGUUCUUAUCAGGAAUCCUAAUUUCAAAAUAAUAGUAGACCUAGUUUACUGGGUUCCUUCCAUGUGCCAGGCACGGUGUUGUAUGUGAUAUGCACCAUCACAUGUAGUCUUCAAAAUAA
rnacentral:snRNA from 1 species